rnacentral:ncRNA from 1 species
GGUAGUAGCAAAUACUCAAGUGAGAACCUUGAGGACUGAAGGUGGAGAAGGGUUCCAUGUGAACAGCAGUUGAACAUGGGUCAGUCGGUCCUAAGCGAUCGGAGAAAUCCGUUCCGAAGGGGGACGUUAAGAGCAUAGAAUUUGCAAGUUUGUCCCCCUGUCGACCGAAAGGGAAUGGGGUUAAUAUUCCCCAACCUGGACACGGAGAUGGAGCUUCGGCUCCAAAUGCGGUAACGCAACCGAACUCGGAGACGUCGACGGGAGACUCGGGGAAGAGUUAUCUUUUCUUUGUCCUGGUUUCUCGUGUCCCUGGAAUCGGAUCAUCCGGAGAUAGGGAUGAUGAGUUCGUAAAAGCACCGCGGCUCUUGCGGUGUCCGGUACGCUCCUGUCGACCCUUGCAAAUCCGAGGGAGAGAUUAUGAUUUUCGUGCCAGACCGUACCCAUAUCCGCAGCAGGUCUCCAAGGUGAACAGCCUCUAGUC